UGCCCUAAGCUUUGUAUACUGGGACUUUUCCCAAAAAAUUGUGCACUCAGUAAGUAUGAGAAAUCAAUGGUCAUAUAUAGUCUACUUGAAGCAAAGCAUAAAAUUGCUUUGUCAUGGAAAUCUAUGUAUAGGCCAUGUAAACAAAAGUGGGCAGAAGGACUAUUGCAUUGUAUUGCUAUGGAGAAAUUGACAUACUUGAUCAAGGGGAAGUAUAACAGAUUUGUUAAGAUCUGGGAUGCGUUUAUGGAAUUUGUAAAAGGAGGAGGUCUAUCCGACACUGUGUAACUUAUUGUCCUUUGUUUGCUCAUGUCACUCUUUUAUUUUACUAACCAAUGUUAAUGUCCAGAUUCUAUAUCUACUGUUGUCUCUGAUGAUUGUGUCUGUUAAUGUGCCUUUUUGUUCCUUUUGUUCCUGUUGCUUUGUUUUUGUGCAUAUGUGCCUGUUUGCUAAUUAAGUGAAAAAUCAAUAAAGAUAUUUGUCAAAGUCUGAAUUAAUCUUGUAGUCUAGUUUUUUGUUGUUUUCUUCUUGUUCCUCAAAAGAGUGAUUUGUUUUUUUGUUGGCCCUGCCUUUUUGUAGUUCUAGUUUAGUUUGUGCCUAUUUUGAUCAUCCCGGUGUUACCCGGUGUUAAGGAAAUAAAGAUUUGAGUUUCCUGUGGAAUGUUCCAAACAUUACCAGUUUUGAUACUGUCCCAGGAUUUUAGGAGCAUGUUGCAGGCCUUAAAUUCAAAAUGAGUUAAUAUUAGCUAAAAAACAAUACAGUUUAUCAGUUUGAAGAUUAAAUGUCUUGACUUUGUAGAGUAUUAAAUUUAACAAACUUGCAAAUUGUUGCAUUAUGUUUUUAUUUUCAUUUACAGUGUCCCAGCUUCAUUGGACUUGGGGUUUGUAAAACCCAUUGAAUCAGAUUGACAGAAUCUUCAUACUUAAUAAAUCAUACAGUGAGACCCUGUGCCUUGUGAAUUGAAGCAUUAUCAGUCUGGAAGACACAACUUCCAUCAAUAUUGAGAUUAUAGGAUAUAGGAUUAUAGGAUCUUCACAGAAACAUUGUCUUAAUCUCAACAGAUAUGUCUGCAAACAGUAAAAAGGAGCCAAGGAAUUCUACAGCCUCUGCACACAUGUCCACAAGGAGGAAACUGAGGGGGGGGAAAUCACCCACAGAAUGUAACCAUGGGAUCCUAAAAGGGGACCCUUACUACUCAGUGAAGAGGGUGAUCCGCUGCAAAAUGCUAAAGGGGAUCCAAAUGAAGUUGGUGGAGUGGGAGCCCUGUUCACUCUGUGGGAAAGCUUGGCCGCCACAGUGGGUGACGGAGGAAAACACCACAAAUUAAAUGUUGUAAAAAAUGUUCAAAAUGUUCCAUUGUUUUGUUUUAUCCACUUCAGGAAUGUGUAUGUGUGUAUGUUGUUAUACCGUUUAUACAGUAUAUUAAAAAAAAUUCAAAAGCCUGAAAGACUCCCACUUUGUAGCAAACCAGAAAACACGUUGUGUUUGCAAAAGCUUGACACAUCUCUCUCCUUCACACAUAGAUAGAUAUUGCAUACUUCCAAUAAUAUAAAUACAAUUAAUUAACCUCCAAUCAGACAAAAACUUGAUCAUACACCAGAAAUAAGUUAUUACUAAGACCAGACACGUGGUGGCAGCACUGUGUAUGUCAUAAGAAACGUCAUCAGAACACUACAUGGCUAUUUAAAUAUCGUGAUCGAGGAGUAACACCACAAAUAACACGCUAGUCCAUAUUCUUACAAAGUGAAAAUAUUCAAACAGCUAACAAUGAUUCCAACAAGGAAGCAGCUGCUUCUUCUUCUUCUUCUUCUUCUUCACACGUCAAAACCC